GGGGGUAUAGCUCAGUUGGUUAGAGCGUCUGCUUGACAUGCAGAAGGUCGCAGAUUCGAAUUCUGCUACUCCCACCA
rnacentral:tRNA from 1 species